rnacentral:rRNA from 2 species
GGGUGCUAUCAUACUAGCACUAAUGCACCGGAUACCAUCAGAACUCUGCAGCUAAGCGUGGUUGGGCGAGAGUAGUACUAGGAUGGGUGACCUCCCGGGAAGUCCUCAUGUUGCACCCC